rnacentral:rRNA from 1 species
UACGUAGGCAGCGAGCGUUGUUCGGAGUUACUGGGCGUAAAGGGUGUGUAGGCGGUUUUCUAAGUUUGGCGUGAAAUCUCCCGGCUCAACCGGGAGGGUGCGCCGAAAACUGGGAGACUAGAGUGCGGGAUGGGAGAGUAGAAUUCCUGGUGUAGCGGUGAAAUGCGUAGAUAUCAGGAGGAAUACCGGUGGUGUAGCCGGCUCUCUGGACCGCCACUGACGCUGAGACACGAAAGCGUGGGUAGCAAACAGG